AUGCAAAGAACUUUGAAAAGAGAGUUAAAGAGUACCUGAAAUUGCUGAAAGGGAAGCGAAGGAAACCAGUGCUGUUUCGUAUCAUUCUUCUUCUGCUGCUUGCGGCAGGAGCGCUGUGAUGCGGAGUCGGUCAGCAUGGGUUUGAAUCGGGACAAAUAGCUUUACAGGAGGCAGCUCAUUUACUGAGCGAUUACUGUUUAGUGUUGUCUUGGUUUGGAUCGAGGCUAGUCACUUGUGCUCGUGAUGCUGACAAAAUGGUUUUCUUUACCCCGUCUUGAAACACGGACCAAGGAGUCUAACAUAUGUGCGAGUAUAGGAGUGGCAAACUCCAAUGCGCAAUGAAAGUAACAGUGGUAUGACCUUAUGGGGCAAUAUCCGCCGGCCACAAUUCUUCGGAAGAAAGGUCUGAGUGUGAGCAUACAUGUUGGGACCCGAAAGAUGGUGAACUUUGCUUGAAUAGGAUGAAGCCACCGGAAACGGUGGUGGAGGUCCGUAGGGGUUCUGACGUGCAAAUCGAUCUUCAAAUUUGAGUAAAGGGGCGAAAGACUAAUCGAACCAUCUAGUAGCUGGUUCCCUCCGAAAUUUCCCUCAGGAUAGCUGCAAUCGAUGUCAAUUUUAUCA
rnacentral:rRNA from 1 species